GGAGAGGUGUCCGAGUGGCCGAAGGAGCACGCCUGGAAAGUGUGUGUACGUUUGCGCGUACCGAGGGUUCGAAUCCCUCCCUCUCCGCCA
rnacentral:tRNA from 2 species